ensembl:lncRNA
CUUUACCACUGAACCUGAACCAUUGAGCUACCACUGCUUCAUGAAAAUUUGAAAUACUGUCUGUGCAGGUGCAUUUCCAGUGUGCAUAAUCUAACACAUUCGCAUUGUUGUACACAACAGGAAACAGUCUCGUUAACAUUUCAUACAGUCCUCUGCCACUUUAUUAGGAACACUUGUACACCUGCUCAUCUGUGCAGUUGACCAAUUAGCCAACCCCAUGGCUUCAGGUAAAGAAACUGGGCGGUUAAAGAUUAAAAGUAGAAGCGACAGCUUGUUGAAUCUUAUCGAAUGUCCAACCGAGUGUCCGGUUUUAGCGAGCAAGUGCUGACUGUAGCCUCAGAUUCCUGCAGCCAGGAGUGGAUCCCAGUGUGGUCUUCUGCCGUUCUAGCCUCCUCAGGGUCCGGCGCGUUGUACAUUCUGAGAUGCUUUUCCUGGUUGUAAAGAGUGGCGAUUUGAGUAAACACAGCGUUCUUGUCAGAUCAAACCAGUCUGGCCAUCGUCCUCUUAGCUCUCCUCGAGAAGCUGUCUUCUCCCACAGAACUCACUUAGAUGUGUUUAUUUGUUCGCUUUUAUGUAUUACAUGAAAAUCUCAGGAGAUCAGCAGGUUCUGAAAUACUCAAACCAGCCUUUCGGGCACUAGUAAGACAAAUGAAUGUUGUCCUCCUUAAGUUACUUUGGUAAGGUUAUUAGGCGAUGAAGGGUGUGGGCGCUCGCUUGUGUGGUGUUCAUCUUUUCUGUCCUUCACCUACUCUCACUCUCUCCUUGGUUGGUUUUCUUUUUUUUUCCUUUUCUUUCAACGGCCCUUCUCUCAUCCGCCCCGAUCCCCAAACAGCUCCUUAAAUAGUAAUUAUUUAUGAUUGAGGCUUUGAGGUAGAAAAACAUUGAGGUGGAUUGUUUGAACAGGCUUUUAGAAACUGCAUGACUUCUCAGUGUGGAUGAUGGGUUUCUUUAUAUUUAUAUAUAUAUAUAUAUCGUUGUUGUCAUUUUGCUUUGGUGACCAGAAGGUCGGGAACAUGAAUCCGAGGUCGGAACCUCGAGCAGGACCCUUAUUAAACCCGCUGCGUGCAUCUACUGACUCUGAGAAAUGAAUCAGAAUAAAAUGACUCAUCGAGUUGUAAAACAAAGGCCGCCUUUAGAUUUUUAUUGUUUCCAACCAACCACAUGCACGCAGACGGCCUCGGAGCUAGACCGAUUGUGGGAAGGGCAUAAACGCGGCUCGGUGAAGCGGGGCGUCUGGGUAAAGGUCCUUAAAGCUGGGAGUUACGGCGUGAAGGAGAAACGGGAAUUCUGUACGGAGUCCAUGAACUAAGGUUUUCCAUUUUCCGUUUACUUUAUAGUGCAUACUACAUAGUGCAGUGAGUAUCACUUUAUAAUCACAAGUUUAAAUGCAGUGCUCCCUCUUUCGUGCUCCCCAGACCUUCUCUUCUUUCUUCACAUCUUCCUGCCAUCUCGAACUCUCCUCCUCUGCCCCUCCCCGAGGCCUUGGAUUGGGCAGGUGGAAGCUAAAGCUGGAAUGCUGGGGAAUGCAGUCAGUCCCACUCAGCAUGCACGUGCAUGACCUACAGAUCACAUCCCACUACUCGCAUGGCAAGCUGAUAUAGAAGAAGCGUGAGAUGAGCUAAGACUGGGACAGGAAUAGAGAGCAAGAUGCUGAGUGUUCCGUGGACUGGGGAGUAUUCACACACACACACACACACCACUAGAGGUGAAGGCCAGCAUCUGUGCUGCUAAGGAGGGGCAGGUCAGAGGUCAAGCUGAGUGUUUACUUUGGGUUUUGCAGCUCCUGGCUGGUGUGUGAGCAGACCAAGCAGCGAUGAUUUCCAGUAAACACGGAACUGCUUGUCUGACAGGUUCAGCACGCGGUUAUCUGAUUUAACCUGCUGAAUUUCAUUCCUACAUUCGUAAUAAAAGGCACAGAGGCCAAAGAGGCCACUCCUUCUUCAUUGGGUUCUGAUGGUCAUAAAGGCCACUCCUUCUUCAUUAGGUUCUGAUGGGCCCAAAGGCCACUCCUUCUUCAUUGGGUUCUGAUGGGCCCAAAGGCCACUCCUUCUUCACUGGGUUCUGAUGGGCACAAAGGCCACUCCUUCUUCAUUGGGUUCUGAUGGGCCCAAAGGCCACUCCUUCUUCAUUGGGUUCUGAUAGGCGCAAAGGCCACUCCUUCUUCAUUGGGGUCUGAUGGUCAUAAAGGCCACUCCUUCUUCAUUGGGUUCUGAUGGUCAUAAAGGCCACUCCUUCUUCAUUGGGUUCUGAUGGUCAUAAAGGCCACUCCUUCUUCAUUGGGUUCUGAUGGUCAUAAAGGCCACUCCUUCUUCAUUGUGUUCUGAUGGUCAUAAAGGCCACUCCUUCUUCUUUGGGGUCUGAUGGGCCCAAAGGCCACUCCUUCUUCAUUGGGGUCUGAUGGCCCAAAGGCCACUCCUUCUUCAUUGGGUUCUGAUGGUCAUAAAGGCCACUCCUUCUUCACUGGGUUCUGAUGGGCAUAAAGGGCACUCCUUCUUCAUUGGGGUCUGAUGGGCCCAAAGGCCACUCCUUCUUCAUUGGGUUCUGAUGGGUACAAAGGCCACUCCUUCUUCACUGGGUUCUGAUGGGCACAAAGGCCACUCCUUCUAUAUUGGGUUCUGAUGGUCAUAAAGGCCACUCCUUCUUCAACUGGAAUGACAUGCACAGGAUUACACUGUCUUCCUGUUUAGAAAUGACAAUCACCGAAGCCACACCUCUUUUAAUGAGUGGCACAGGGACGGAAAUAAGUUAUUAAUAAAAUAUGAGUAAUGAAAUGACUUUAGCAGUAGAUGCCGUCCCAGCUUCAGUCUGAUAUAAUCACUGUUGUCUGUCAUCCUGACACGACACCGAUUCAAACUGCUGAAUCGUUCCACCCUGUUUUCCUUUCUCCUCAUGCUGUUUACUCUUAGUAUUUUUGGGCAAGUGUCACUUUUCUCUGCAUCUAUAUAAACCCUUGAAUUUAGCGACUGACCACAUAGAAGCGAACAAACACCUUAAUUAUACACCUCCCUCAUGGAAUCCCUCCACCACACACAAAUCUCACACGCUGCUUCCUCACAUAUUAUUAUGUCUUCGCGGCAGCCACUUUCACUACCCGUUUUACACGGCAGUUUUCCAUGCACGCAAACACGCCGGCAAAUAAAUCUCACUUGUAAAGUGUCAGGUCAUAAAGAUCGGUCAAAAUAAACGAUCCCCUCGAGCAGUCUUGUUCCGUCUCUGUUUUUUUGUUUUUUUUAAAGCCUUAAUUGAAAUAGUAGCUGGGUGUGGGAGCGGCAGGCUUCGGGAUUUCUUCCUGCAACACUGAAGCCUCAGAAUCUUUGUUAUAAGUGACGUUGCAGCCUGAAAAUACACUGUGUUGUAAGUGUUAUAUAUGAUAAAUGUUAUAUGUGUGUGUGUGUGUGUGUGUGUGUAUGUAUGUGUAUAUAUAUAU